rnacentral:snoRNA from 1 species
ACGACCUUACUUGAACAGGAUCUGUUCUAUAGGCUCGUACCUCUGUAUCCUUCAGUGCUAAGGAGACAGGAUCUUAAGCCUGGUUGAUGAAACAGAACCAUGUGAUCAGAGCGUGAUUGACAGCAGCCCAAUGGCCUCUGUCCCAUUGUUGCAGUAGAGGAUCGUUCUCAGUCAUUCAUUCAUCUUGGCUGGGAUGGUCACUUGGUUGUCUGACAGGUC